GGGUGCUGGCUGUGCUGUGUUGGCAUAGCUCACUGUCCUCCUGUUUCCUGGUUCACAGUACUGUCUCUUUUAUUUCUCUUGGACGGACUGGACAGGACAGACAAUUGAACGGUGGCUGAGGACUGAACUGUCUACAGGACCAGGGAGAGCUUUCUAAUAGACCUCUACAGCAAUAUAACCUCUACAGAUUGGAGACGAGACAUUUUUUAAUCAUGGUGGUUUUGAGGAAGGGUGAAUGGGUGUGGGUAGACUCCGGGCAGGGAGUGGCCAUCGGAGCUGAGGUCAAGCUGACCGACACUGGAAAGCUGCAGCUCUUCGAUGAUGAAG